UAGAAUGGGGUGUAAUGGGUAGCACGGAGAAUUUUGGAUUCUCAAGUA
rnacentral:tRNA from 1 species